rnacentral:lncRNA from 1 species
AAAUUGAUGAAUUAUAACAGAUCUAGGUAGAAUUUAUCCACCCCCAUCCCUACCCCCUUUUUGGGUAGAUAACAGAAAUGUGCAAUUCACUGUACUAUGGAGACUGGAAGGUCUACUACAUUUAUUGCUGUGCCAGUUCUCCUUAUAAGUUGUUGUUGCUGCUUUUGUUUUAUUUAUUCUGUCUAUGGGUGUGUUUGUUUUCUGUUUGUUUUUCUGUCUUUCUAGGUAGCCUUAGCUGGCCUGAUACUUGCUAUGUAAUCCAAAUUGGCUUUGAACUCCUAGCAAUCCUCCUGAGUUAACUCUCCGUGUGCUGGGAUUACAGGCUCUGACAAAAUGCCUGGGAGAAACAACUUAAGAGAAAAGGGUCUAUUUUGGCUCAUGUCAAAGGAUCCCAACUACGAUGGUGAGGCAGAUAUUGUGGUAGAAGUGGCUGAGUUAAGUUCUUAGUCUGUGUUGAUGUGAGUACCAAGCAGAUGGUCACUUCAUGAGGAGAAAACAGGGAGCUAGACUGGAUCCAGCGGUAUGUAUGGGAAGCUGCUUCUGUUUGCAAGGCCACAUAUUCCUAGUUCACAGCCUCAUACAACAGUGCCACAAGCUGGUGAGUUUUCAAAUACGUGCACUCCCAGGAACAUAAUAUAUGGAAAUAAUCUUGCAUCUCCUCACUGGUAAUCUUUGUCCGGGUGAACUGGAAGGGUCCUUAGAGUAGGAGUGAGCUGGAUUGCUAAACAGAGUUCCAUUAUUCUCCUAUCAGAUCAAUAAAUUUUCACUUGUUCUGAGGUACUAUUUAUGGAUUAGUAAAAUACCCACAAUAACAUCUACAGACAGAAAGGUAUAGGCUCAGAAAUUAACAGCCUUGAGUUGCAGGUGGAAGGUGCAGAAGCCAAAUUAAAAACAGUCUUUUCAGGCUGAGCUCAGGAGCCUGAAUUUCCAUGCUGUAAGUGGCUGGGAUCCACUGGAGGAUUUUAAUUGUGUAAGUUGACAAGAUCAGAUUUGCUAUUCAGAAAGCACACCCUGGCACAGAUCGGUGGGUGGAAUAGAAAGUGGUUGCCCUGGAGACAGGCAGACCCAUUAGGAAGCUCUGACAAAGAUCCAGGAGAGAGAAAAUGAGGAUAGUGGUUGGAGGAAUGAGCAGAUUCAAAGACAUUUUAGAGGUGGAACGGAUGGUCGGGAGACGCUCAUUCAGUGUAAAUGCUGAAGGAAAGGAAGAACCAAGGAGCGCUGUGGUUUCCAGCUUGGAUUUCUAUAUGGAUAGUGAAUAAUUAAUGAAGAUGUGGCGGGCGGGCAUAAUGGGGACUUAAGAGGGAGGUAGUUGUAGAUGGACGUGAUCAAUAUACAUUUGUUUAAAUGUGUAUAACUUUCAAAGAGUAAGAGAAUUAUUAUUUUAAUAGAUCAAGGUAUAAAAUACAAAAAAAAGUCAAAUGGGGGGGGGGGUUUGCUAAUGAAUUCAUAUGUGACCUGUUGAAUUUGAUGUAUCUUUUGGACUUGUAGGUGAAGAAGUCACAUGUGGUGAAUAUAUUAUCAUCAGAAUGCGGAGCAAUGAAAUGUAAACAGAUAGGAAUCGUCACUAAAGCUCCAACUGCAGCCUCCGGGUGCCAUAGCUUUUGCACCAUCCAUUUGCACCAUCUCUGCAGUAAGUCCUAGCUCAAGCCUUACUCCAAAGUACAAAUUAGCAUAGCAGCUCAGUCAACAAUGCCUCCGAGCUUCUGGAAAGAAAGAUGCUCAGUCACCAUAGACCCAGAAUUAAUGAAAAGUCACAGAAAUAAUAGCUCCAUUCUCUACUUGCUUCUGAACCUCAAAUCAGUGGUUGGCAACAAGUUGCUCUCAAUCACUGCCACGAGUCUGGUGAUGCGCUAAGCUCGGGGCAGGAUCUCAAGGGCUUUGAGGUAAAUAAGGUACCCUCUGUGGGCUCUGUUUCAAUUAGAUGCUAGAGCAAUUGUCAUCAUUUUAGAGAACAAAGAUACUGUGAUCGAAAACCGUGAAGGCUGCUGUCUAUGUCAUGCUUGUCCCUAGUUUACAUGCAUUUUCCAGAUAACCAAAUCCAAUAAGCCCUGAGUGCACCCUGAUCCCCUCUCCACUCCCGUGUCAGCUCCAAAUGGAUGGAAGAUGACAGGAAGGAACUAGCUGGGACACAGAGCAAAACUUCUAGAGUUAAUGAGACAGUAACUCUCAUCUUAGUUCCUGAUGACUAGGAGCAUAUGAUUUUCCUGAGGGACCUGUUAAACAAGUCCCAUCUCUCUUGAGUUUCAGCUUACAUAGCCAGAAAAUAAAUCCUUUCCCUGUUCCAAGCAAAGUACUAGGACAUCUUGCUUCUCUUGCCUCUACAGACAGCAAGAUGACUUCAUGGCUUUCUCUUUCACCACAGUCACUGGUGCUCAGUACAAAUGAGACUCACCUUAGAAAGAAAGAAAAGAAAGAAAGAAAGAGAAAAAGAGGGG